rnacentral:rRNA from 1 species
GAUGAACGCCAGCUACAGGCUUAACACAUGCAAGUCGAGGGGAAACGGCAUUGAGUGCUUGCACUCUUUGGACGUCGACCGGCGCACGGGUGAGUAACGCGUAUCCAACCUUCCCAUUACUGUGGGAUAACCUGCCGAAAGGCAGACUAAUACCGCAUAGUCUUCGAUGACGGCAUCAGAUUUGAAGUAAAGAUUUAUCGGUAAUGGAUGGGGAUGCGUCUGAUUAGCUUGUUGGCGGGGUAACGGCCCACCAAGGCGACGAUCAGUAGGGGUUCUGAGAGGAAGGUCCCCCACAUUGGAACUGAGACACGGUCCAAACUCCUACGGGAGGCAGCAGUGAGGAAUAUUGGUCAAUGGACGGAAGUCUGAACCAGCCAAGUAGCGUGCAGGAUGACGGCCCUAUGGGUUGUAAACUGCUUUUGUAUGGGGAUAAAGUUAGGGACGUGUCCCUAUUUGCAGGUACCAUACGAAUAAGGACCGGCUAAUUCCGUGCCAGCAGCCGCGGUAAUACGGAAGGUCCAGGCGUUAUCCGGAUUUAUUGGGUUUAAAGGGAGCGUAGGCUGGAGAUUAAGUGUGUUGUGAAAUGUAGACGCUCAACGUCUGAAUUGCAGCGCAUACUGGUUUCCUUGAGUACGCACAACGUUGGCGGAAUUCGUCGUGUAGCGGUGAAAUGCUUAGAUAUGACGAAGAACUCCGAUUGCGAAGGCAGCUGACGGGAGCGCAACUGACGCUUAAGCUCGAAGGUGCGGGUAUCAAACAGG